AAAACGACUCUCGGCAACGGAUAUCUCGGCUCACGCAUCGAUGAAGAACGUAGCAAAAUGCGAUACUUGGUGUGAAUUGCAGAAUCCCGUGAACCAUCGAGUUUUUGAACGCAAGUUGCGCCCGAAGCCAUUUGGUCGAGGGCACGUCUGCCUGGGCGUCACGC
rnacentral:rRNA from 1 species